AACACGACUCUCGACAAUGGAUAUCUCGGCUCUCGCCAUGAUGAAGAAUGUAGCGAAAUGCGAUACUUGGUGUGAAUUGCAGAAUCCCGUGAAUCAUCGAGUCUUUGAACGCAAGUUGCGCCCGAGGCUUCGGCUGAGGGCACGUCUGCCUGGGUGACGCAC
rnacentral:rRNA from 1 species